UGCAGUCGAGCGGCAGCGCGGGGCAACCUGGCGGCGAGCGGCGAACGGGUGAGUAACAUAUCGGAACGUACCCAGUGGUGGGGGAUAACACAUCGAAAGAUGUGCUAAUACCGCAUACGACCUGAGGGUGAAAGGGGGGGAUCGCAAGACCUCUCGCCGUUGGAGCGGCCGAUAUCGGAUUAGCUAGUUGGUGAGGUAAAGGCUCACCAAGGCGACGAUCCGUAGCUGGUCUGAGAGGACGACCAGCCACACUGGAACUGAGACACGGUCCAGACUCCUACGGGAGGCAGCAGUGGGGAAUUUUGGACAAUGGGGGAAACCCUGAUCCAGCCAUUCCGCGUGAGGGAAGAAGGCCUUCGGGUUGUAAACCUCUUUCGGCAGGAACGAAACGGUGCGGGUUAAUACCUUGCAUCAAUGACGGUACCUGAAGAGGAAGCACCGGCUAACUACGUGCCAGA
rnacentral:rRNA from 1 species